GUGGGGAAUUUUGCGCAAUGGGCGAAAGCCUGACGCAGCAACGCCGCGUGAGUGAUGAAGGCCUUCGGGUUGUAAAGCUCUUUCGACUGGGAAGAAACACGCAGGUGCUAAUACCACCGGCGAUUGACGGUACCAGUAUAAGAAGCCACGGCUAACUCUGUGCCAGCAGCCGCGGUAAGACAGAGGUGGCAAGCGUUGUUCGGAAUUAUUGGGCGUAAAGGGCGUGUAGGCGGUUUUGUAAGUCGGGCGUGCAAUCCUAUGGCUUAACCAUAGAACUGCGUUCGAUACUGCAUAACUUGAGUGCAGGAGAGGAGAGUGGAAUUCCCAGUGUAGAGGUGAAAUUCGUAGAUAUUGGGAGGAACACCGGUGGCGAAGGCGGCUCUCUGGACUGUAACUGACGCUAAAGCGCGAAAGCGUGGGGAGCAAACAGGAUUAGAUACCCGUGUAGUCC
rnacentral:rRNA from 1 species